CAAUACUUUUUUAAAGAAACAAUCGAUGUUUUCUCAACACUGUAAUGCACUCAGAGUCAUGGUGACAGAAGAUGGAACUAGUGAUCUUUUCCCACCUCCCAGAAUUGAAUCUUAGCAGUUGAGAAAAAGCAAACAAGAACAAUUCUGACCUUCAGAAGAGAUUGGACCUGAAUCUUUGGCCUGAACCAAGAAGAGCAU
rnacentral:lncRNA from 1 species